rnacentral:lncRNA from 1 species
ACAUAUCUAUAUUUUCUGGAUGUUCCAGAUUAUUUAUAGACAUUUCUUUUAUAAUAAUCCCAAAUUGGAAACAGUCAAAAUGUUCAUCAUCAGGAGAACAGAUAAACAAAUUGUAUCUUCAUUCAAAUUCAUUCAAUAUUAAACAAAAAUUAAAGUGAUACAUACAACUGCAUAAAUUUAAGUUAAUGAAGAUAACUUGAGCCAAAUAAACUGCCCACAAGGAAAUUAAUGUUUAUAUUAUGUGAUUAUAUUUAUAAGAAGUUCUAAAAUAAGCAAUAUUAAUCUAUCUUAACAGAAUUUAGAGGAAUGAUUAUGAAGGCAGGUGGGAGAAUUGAAUGGCAAGGGUAUAACAAAAUCCCUAGGUUAAACAAAAUACUCUGUUUCAAUCUGGGUGGUUGUUACCCAGGUGUAGACAUAUACUGUAUAAUAUUCACUAAGAUGUACAAUUAGGAAUUACGCAUUUUGUUUUUGUAAACUGUUCUCAAUUAUUUUAAAGGAAAGGGAGAAAAAGAACAACAGCAACAACAACAAAAGCAGCCUCCUGCCUGAGAAGUCUCUUGUAAAUAAGAAGUGGAAAAGAACAGAAGAAAAGCAGGAAUGACAAGAUCAAGUUCCAAAAAGGCUUGAAUACAUGGGAAUUUAUUAUUAGCUACCUUGAUCUGCAAAAACAGAGAGGAUAUAUGCUUCCAGAAAGAGAAAAUGACUGAUUUUAUAAGAGGAAUUUAGCUGCUUGAGCUCAGUAUAUCACCUCCAUUUAUUCUCAGCAUGCCAUCAGCAAAUAGCUAUCUGUUCUCAAAGGAAGUAAUAACUUGAAAGUAAUCUUCAUAAACUUUUUUUAUGCUAUUCUAUGCUAUGUGAUGUAAAGGUACUUUAAAGGAAUAAGGUGGCAUGAGAAAAGAAUAUUUAGGGAUAUCAGAAAACUAUCCCAAGAAACGGAAAAUUGUCAAGAAAUAAUUCUAUAGAUUCUCAAAGAAACUAAUGGCAAGAUGGUUUUAUUAAAAAAAGAUGAAAGUAGAGCUACCAAGCAAAGAGAAUCUAGGAAACAAACAUAUAAAUGCAAUUUUAUUAACUUACAGCCAUUAUGAAGCCUCCACAAGAAAGAAAAAUACAACUGAAGCCUUGCUAGGAAAAUUGAAGUCAAUCUUGAAGGAAAUACAAAGGGCCUCUGAGAAGCAUCAAGAAAUAAUUAACAGUUGUUGAUAGUUAACUUUAGGUGUCAACUAAACUGGAUAAUGGAAUAUCUAGAGAACUGUUUUCAGAUACCUGGCCUUGGAAUGAAACUUACACCAUCAGCUUUCCUGGUCCUGAGGCCUUUGUACUUGGACUGAUCCACACUAUAAGCAUCCCCAGGUCUUGAAUGCAGAGAGUCAUGGGAUUUCUCAUCCUCCAUAAUCAUCUAGAAAAGAAGGCCCGAGAGUCCCUGGCAAACCACUGGUGUAAGUCCAAGAGUCCAAAAGCAGAAGAACUUGCAGACUGAUGUUUGGGGGCAGGAAGCAACCAGCAUAGAAGAACGAAGAAUACUAGAAGACUCAGCAAGUCAGCUCCUUCCACCUUCUUCUGCUUGCUUUAUUCUAGCUGCUCUGGCAGCUGAUUACAUGGUGCUCACCCAGAUUGCGGGUGGGUCUGCAUCUCCCAGUUCACUGACACAAAUGUUAAUCUCCUUUGGCAACACCCUCACAGACACACCCAGGAACAAUACUUUGCAUCCUCAGUCAAGUUGACACUCAACAUUAGCCAUCACAAGUCCAUCCCUUGUCAACUUGAACCCAUACACAUCUCCUGAAAUUACACAUAAUCUUCAAAUAAAGACAAUAAUGAUGUCAUAAUUACACCUAACUUAAUACGGCUAUCCUUCAUACAACCAGAAGUGAAUUAUUAACCGAAAUGCUAUUACAUAAAGUUAAUAACACUUAACUGCUGAUAUGAAGUUAAUAAUGUCACUUGAUAAGGGAAAAGCAAAGGAAAUAAAUAAAGGUAUUUUCUUAGUAGAAGUGUAUACAUGCACAAACAUGUAAGGAGGAAAUCCACAUGACAAUUACAGGUCUCAUUUCUGCAACUGGUCUUGUGGUCAUAGCUGGUAUUGAUGACUACCUUUUUCUACUAACCAUUCUGUAUUCCCUUUGCCUUCAGCUAGCACCUCAGCAGGCUGUUAUUUUUUUACCUGGUGAAGUCACCCAACCCUUCAUUCCUGAAGAGUCUGGGCCAUUUGUAGUCCUGCCUAGAUUGGAUUGUUGUAGUUUUCCACUGACCUUAAUCACAGGGCAUGGUAGUACUAAAAGACGGCCUAAGGGAUCUCCUGUAUUCCACACAUAUUCUUCCUUACCUCCACUGUGGAGUAGUAACCUGAUUUCAUCUUGAUAGUCCAGGUCAAUCACCCAAGUCAACACUGUAACUCCUUUCUUGACCUGUUGACUUAGAGGUGGGAGGAGCCCAAAGUGGCCAGGUGGCAAUUUUAACUUUCAGUUUAAUGGUAUCAUUCUUGUGUCGACUGGUGGCAGAAUUCUUCCCUCUGGAACUAAGGCCAGCAGAACAUAAUGUUGGGGGAACUGGAAGUAAAAUUUUUGCUAGUGGGUCACUAGGAGUGAUGGUGAGUGGUGCCACUUCUACUUCUACCCCUUGAUUCUUAGGCCUGUGAAUGCUGGCUAUGAGGGAAACAGUACCAUAUAUUGGAUGCUGAUUCAGGACAUACUCAGCCUUC